UCUAAGACUUCAAAAUAAAGGGGGAUUUGUUUUGGACGAAAAUUGAAAACAAAACAGAAACUUUAAACUAAACAGAUUGUAGAACGUUUUUGAAUAAAAGGAUGGAUAAAAGGCUAGUUGGGAGGUUCUUCUCCACACAUGUCACACUUGCAAACAAAACGAUUAUCAGUUGUUCUUCCAAUGAAUUAUGAAUACUCAACGCCCCAAAUUAACCGUGAAUUGCACUAGUUAACCCUCAGUUUUUCCACAAGUUAUUAAGUUGGAUGAUUGCAUACGACAACCCAAAACAUUCCCUACAAGUUCCCUACAUGAAUUGCAUAAUAGAGAUACAAGCAAGAAUCAUUACGUUCUAUGAAAAACAUAAGCAUUGACGAAGCAUUUGUUACUAUGAAUUGCAUGAAACUUAUGCCAAGAAUUCAUUCAACACGAUCGUUUUCAAGCGAUCUUCACUACUUGUGAUUAUAAGAUUGUAACUAUUAGGUGAAACUCCCUCAUAAUCUAGCAUCAUAUUCAUGCAUGAAAACUAAGCGUGCACUCUCAAUCAACAUACACAAAUAAGUUAUCAAUCAAAUAGAUGAACGAAUUGAAUCCACAACUCAUGAAAUAACAACUGAAUGUAAUCAAAUCAUAUUGCAAGCAUGUACCUGGUUUCGAAUUACCCCCCAACUAAGGGGGUUUAGUUCCUCAUACUCACAACACAAAGUUUAUUGAAUUGAAACAUCGAAGACAUAAGAAAGAUUACACCUAAAACGCCCAACAAUUCCACUUUGAAUUCUGCACGUCAAGCUCCUCUUUCUUCUUCUCCUUGCUGCGGCAGAGAGGGUUUAGGGGAUUUUUGGAUGUGAUUUUGGGUUUGGAAGGGAGUUAGGAUAGUAUGGUGGUGCGGCAAGGUGUAUGGAUGGUGUAUGGAGGUGUAGAAUGGUGUAUGGUUGUGGAGAAGGGUUGCGGCAAGGUGUGGGUGAUAGGAGCAUAUUUAUGCGCCUUAGUUAGCUAGUUCUUAUGCAUCUUUGUUAUGUUUUCUUCGUUAAAGUAGUCUUUUAAGCUACUUUCAUGUGUUUUCAGGUUUAAAGGACAUAUUACAUGAAAUGAUGCAAGUUGGAGCUUUUGGAGCAAAUAUGAGCUUGGAUUGAAAAGGACAUGCUUGGAACACAAGGUUGGGAUGGAAUUGAAGAGUUGAAGAUUUGAGGUUUCCUACUUCAAGUAGGAAAGCUAAGCCUAAAAGUUUCCAUUUUGGGUUGAUCUUUCCUAAUUUGGAAUUGGCAACCAAAGUUUCUAAAGUUGGAAGUUUCUAUUCUUGGAGGUUUCCAUUUUCGUGAGUUUCUAUUCUCGGCUUUGGGCUUUUGGACGACCCAUCCUUACUUCUUGGACCUAUGUCGCACCUAAACCCUAACCCUAGCCACUUAAUCAGCCGCACCUAGGCCUUGUUCACAUGCAAAAAUCUGAUUGUUUACCCUAAGCCCAUGCCGCACCUUUCCAUCCUAGAAGCCUUAUUUUACAAACCUUAACCCUAGCCCAUUGUUUCAAUCUGAUUUCAUUAGGGUUUUAGGUGCCUAUAUAUAUGUGUUUUACUCCUUUGGCCGAAUAUCCACCCUCUACACAAUUCAGAAAUUCAUCCAACCUUAUUUCCUCACCUUUCCGCAGCCAUCAUCACCCUUAGAACCCCUAGCCGCCACUCCUCCAUACAAACCAGCCACUCCCCACUCCUUGCCGCAACCAGUCCACACCUCUAGCCACCAUCCUACACCUCCAUACACCAUUCAUACCCCUUGCCGCACCACCAUACCAUCCUAACUCCCUUCUAGAACCAAAAUCACAUCCAAAAUCACCCUAAACCCUCUCUGCCGCAGCAAGGAGAAGAAGAAAGAGGAGCUUGAAGUCAGAAAUUCAAAGUGGAAUUCUUGGGCGUUUUAGGUGUAAUCUUUCUUAUGUCUUCGAUGCUUCAAUUCAAUAAACUUUGUGUUGUGAGUAUGAAGAACUAAACCCCCUUAGUUGGGGGGUAAUUCGAAACCAUGUAUAUGCUUGCAAUAUGAUUUGAUUACAUUCAGUUGUUAUUACAUAAGUUGUGGAUUCAAUUCGUUCAUCUAUUUGAUUGAUGACUUAUUUGUGUAUGUUGAUUGAGAGUGCACACUUAGUUUUCAUGCAUGAAUAUGAUGCUAGAUUAUGAGGGAGUUUCACCUAAUAGUUACAAUCUUAUAAUCACAAGUAGUGAAGGUCGCUUGAAAACGAUCGCGUUGAAUGAUUUCUUAGCAUAAGUUUCAUGCAAUUCAUAGUAACAAAUGCUUCGUCAAUGCUUAUGUUUUUCAUAGAACGUAAUGAUUCGUGCUUGUAUCUCUAUUAUGCAAUUCAUGUAGGGAACUUGUAGGGAAUGUUUUGGGUUGUCGUAUGCAAUCAUCCAACCUAAUAACUUGUGGAAAAACUGAGGGUUAAUUAGUGGAAUUCACGGUUAAUUUGGGGCGUUGAGUAUUCAUAAUUUAUUGGAAGAACAACUGAAAAUCGUUUUGUUUGCAAGUGUGACAUGUAUGGAGAAGAACCUCCUAACUAGCCUUUUAUCCAUCCUUUUUCACCAAAAUCGAUUUUACAAUCUGUGUUAGUUAAAGUUCUGUUUUUGUGUUAAAUUUUCGUCCAAAACAAAUCCCCCUUUAAUUUGAAGUCUUAGAUUAGUUAGAAAGUGUUUUGAUUUGUGUUUCUAAGUAUUUUGAUUCAAGUUUUCAUCAAAUUUCGUCCAAAUUAGUGUAGGGUGCUCAAAACUGCCCAGAAAGUGGUUUUUAGGCAGUUUUGAGCCUUCUAGUUGCUGUUUUGAGUUUUAGGUUUGUUUAAGUGUUUCAGCCUUUACUUUUGCAUUCUUUGAGUCUAGUUUAGUGUUUUAAACUUUGUUUUUGAGUUUUUAAGUCAGUUUCCAAGUGUUUAGCAAUCCCUCCUAAUCCCCGGUUUAGAACGAUCCCUACUUACAUCUUUGCUACAAUUUGACAAAAAGAGGGUUUAAUUUGUGUGCUUAUCUAUUUCGCAUCAAAUUUUUGGCGCCGUUGCCGGGGUUUAGCAAUUUUGCUAAUCCCUUGGAUUGUUUUUGUUUCUUUUAUUUCACUUUGUUUCUGACUUUGUUUAAGUUUCUGACCUAAUUUUGUUUCUUGUUUCUUAGGUACUAAUGUAUGACUAGAAGCUCUCAACCGAUUCGUGCAAACAUCUUGGAUUUUGACGACGAUUUUGAGAGGAAGUUAAGAAGAGCUAGAAACCAGCAAGAACGUCAUCCACCCAAUUCCGAAUCUGACCUUGAAGAAAACGUCCAAGAAGAGGAGGAGGAAGCCACGGCAGGGAUAUUUGAAGAAGUCCAAGGCAUGGCGGUGGACAACCGUACACUCAAGGAGCUUUCCGCCUCGGGUUUGGAUAAUGCCGCACCCUUGUGCAUUCAAUACCCCAUGGCUGCCCAAGGUAAGACAGACGAGUUUGAAUUAAAGUCAAGUUUGCUUCAUCAUAUUCCUAAAUACCAUGGCUUGUCCAUGGAAGAUCCUAACAAACAUUUGAAAGAAUUUGAAGUAGUUUGCUCUAGUAUGACUCCCGUCAAUGUUGAUGGAAAUAUCUUGAAGAUGAAGGCUUUUCCAUUCUCUUUGAUGGAUAAAGCCAAGGAUUGGUUAUACGAGUUAGCUCCCGGCACUGUCACUUCUUGGGAGAGUAUGAAGAGAGCAUUCUUGGAGAAGUUCUUUCCAACUUCUCGCAUCAUCCUCCUACGCAAAAAGAUAAGCGGAAUUCAGCAAGAAAAAGGUGAGUCUUUUCCUACAUAUUAUGAACGAUUUAAAUCACUUGUUGCUUCUUGUCCACAGCAUCAGAUGAAGGAGGAGUUGCUUUUGCAAUAUUUCUACGAGGGCCUACUACCUCUAGAACGUCAAAUGCUUGAUGCUUCGGCGGGGGAGCAUUGGUGGAUAAAACACCCAUGGCUGCCAAGGUCUUGAUUGCUAAUAGAGCGUUGAACGCUCAACAGUACGAGGGUGUAGGCCAAAGAGGACCCUCACGGCACCAAGUACAUGAGGUAAGUGCGACUUCCGAUCUUCAUUCACAAUUGGCUAAUCUUACUUCUAUUGUUUCACAGAUGGCCGAGGGAAUGAAGAUGCAAGGACCUGUGGUAUGUGGCGUAUGUUCUAUCCAAGGACAUGUCUCCGAAAAAUGUCCUCAACUCAUCGAGAAUGGCGGAUGGGAGAGUGCGAAUGCCAUUGGGUUUGAAGGCCAAAAUCAGUCAAGACACGAUCCAUACUCCAACACGUAUAAUCCGGGGUGGCGCGAGACCACCCAAAUUUCAAGUGGAGGGAUCCCCAGCAACCUCAGAACCAAGGAGGCUUUAGGCAACAACCCCCGGGGUUCUUUCCCAAAACCUACGGCCCACCCCAAAAUCAAGCCCAAUCCGGCCCAAGUGCCUCAGGUACGUCUCUUGACAAUGAUGCGCUUCUUAAGAUACUAACUAAGUUGUCUAAUGGGCAGGAAGAUCAAGCUAAGGCUAUGCAAAACCAAGAUAAAAGGGUGGAUCAACUUGAGAAACAAAUUGGGCAGAUUGCCGAGUUUGUAGGUAAGUUUCGAGAUCCCGGACAACUUCCUAGUUCCACCAUUCCAAAUCCGAAGGGAGGUUUCGAAAGUGCAAAAGCAAUCACCCUAAGAAGUGGUAAGGAAGUUGGGGCAGGUCCUACAUCAAAAACAGGUCAUAACGAGGAUGAAAUUUUGCAAAUUGGGCAGAUUUGGGAUGCUAGGAGCUUGCGGCAAAGGUGGAACCACCCUUGCCGUGGGCAACCUUGUAGGAGUUAGGAUAGUAUGGUGGUGCGGCAAGGUGUAUGGAUGGUGUAUGGAGGUGUAGAAUGGUGUAUGGUUGUGGAGAAGGGUUGUUGCAAGGUGUGGGAAAUGGCUGGAAUGGAUGGAGGAGUGGCGGCUAAGGGUAUAAGGAUGAUGGUGGCUGCGGCAAGGAAUGGGAAUAUAGGGUUGGAUGAAUUUCUGAAUUGUGGAGAGGUGAUGUGUGCGGCUAGGUGUAGAAAUAUAUAUAUAGGCACUUAAAAACCCUAGCAAAUCAGAUUAGGGUUUCUAGAAACCCAAAUCCACCAGAAAAAUAGGUUAAACAAUCAGAAAUUUGUUGAGAAAAGGGCCUAGGGUGCGGCAAUUAAGUGGGCUAGGGUUAGGGCUUCUAGAAAGCCUUGCAAGGCAAGGAAAUAUGCGUUCUAGAAGGGGAAAGGUGCGGCUGGUUAGUGGGAAUGUGGAUAGGGCUUCUAAAAAGCCCAAAACCAAGAGAAAUUAAGCCCUAACCCACGGCAAGGAUGAGAAAAUAUUCUAACACCUUUCUUUGUGUCUUCCAACGCUUCGGAACC
rnacentral:lncRNA from 1 species